AUCUCGAUAUCUCACUCCCAACAGCUCUGGCUCAAAUUCCUUUCCUUCAUGGAUCUUGAUGUCCUUGGAGCUAUCAGUAAAUCUGAUCGGUUGUGUAUUCUCUGCUUCAAGUUAAUGACCAGAACAUAUGAACACAAAUCCAGAACCUUUAGUGGUGGAGAUGAAAAUGCCAUAUAUCAAUCUCUUUAGAACUACCAGUGUGUUGGCCUGGGUUGGGGAUUAAAGCCCCACAUAAUGUAAUUUAUUGAUUCUAAUAGUUUAAUAAUGUAACUGUGGAGUAAUACCUCCAUCUUCAGAGCUGUCCUACACCAAAAUACUUGUGAACA
rnacentral:misc_RNA from 1 species